UGAAUACGAGACGCUAAGGCGUCGAAGUAGUGUAUGUCAUACUUCCAAGAAAAGCUUGCACUGUCAUAGAUAAAAAACGCCUGUACCAUAACCGACACAGGUGGGUAGGUAGAGUAUACUAAGGGGCGCGAGAUAACUCUCUCUAAGGAACUCGGCAAAAUAACUCCGUAACUUCGGGAGAAGGAGUGCCUUAUUCGUAAGGUUGCAAUAACAAGAUCCAAGCAACUGUUUAUCAAAAACACAGGUCUCCGCUAAGUCGUAAGACGAUGUAUGGGGGCUGACGCCUGCCCAGUGCCAGAAGGUUAAAGAAGUUGGUUAGCAAUUGCGAAGCUGAUAACUGAAGCCCUGGUGAACGGCGGCCGUAACUAUAACGUUCCUAAGGUAGCGAAAUUCCUUGUCGGGUAAGUUCCGACCCGCACGAAAGGCGUAAUGAUUUGGAUACUGUCUCGGAGAGGGGCUCGGUGAAAUAGACUUGUCUGUGAAGAUGCGGACUACCUGCACCAGGACAGAAAGACCCUAUGAAGCUUUACUGUAACUUGAAAUUGAAAUUGGACUUUAUUCGCGCAGCAUAGGUGGGAGGCGUUGAUUAUAAUCUUGCGGGAUUAUUGGAGCCAUCAGUGAGAUACCACUCUUGUAAUGUUAGAUUUCUAACUUUGAAUCAUUAUCUGGUCAAAGAACAGUUUCAGGCGGGCAGUUUGACUGGGGCGGUCGCCUCCUAAACGGUAACGGAGGCGUACAAAGGUUUCCUCUGAACGGUUAGAAAUCGUAUCUAGAGUGUAAAGGCAUAAGGAAGCUUGACUGUGAGACCUACAAGUCGAGCAGGGACGAAAGUCGGUCUUAGUGAUCUGACGGUACUGAGUGGAAAGGCCGUCACUCAACGGAUAAAAGUUACUCUAGGAUAACAGGCUGAUCUCCCCCAAGAGUUCACAUCGACGGGGAGGUUUGGCACCUCGAUGUCGGCUCAUCGCAUCCUGGGGCGGUAGCACGUCCCAAGGGUUGGGCUGUUCGCCCAUGAAAGCGGUACGCGAGCUGGGUUCAGAACGUCGUGAGACAGUUCGGUCCAUAUCCGGUGUAGGCGUUAGAAUAUUGAGAGGAGCCUUCUUUAGUACGAGAGGACCGAGAAGGACAUACCUCUGGUGUACCAGUUAUCGUGCCAACGGUAAACGCUGGGUAGCUAUGUAUGGAGUGGAUAACCGCUGAAAGCAUCUAAGUGGGAAGCCCACCUCAAGAUAAG
rnacentral:rRNA from 1 species